ensembl:lncRNA
CCUUUAUCACUUCAAAGGUUGGAACAUUUAAAUGCCUGCAUUUAUUCCAAAAAUGAGCUCUUUCUGCAGUAUGCUACAGAGCUGCACAGAAACACUUCCCUUAAUCCAUAGGAAGUUUGGAUAAAAAUGGAAAAUUGCAGCACUUCAGGUGAGAACUGAUAUAUAUUACUUCAGUUUGGAAAUUUUACUUCUGAAAUGCUUCAACAGGCCAGACACACUGUCUACACUAUCUUCUGUGACACAUUCUGAUCCUGGGAAAAAGAGAGCUACAAAUGGCAGGAUGCACAGCUUCUCUGGGGAUGCCAUAAAGGAAAAACAAGCACAAGAGGUACCCAAACCGAACUCUGUUUUCCCCUGUAGGGGUUUUGGACUGUUUGCAGUGUGAACAGCUGACCAGAAUGACAUGGAAGGCCAUUACUUAGAGGGUCAUUUUCUUCCACAGUGUAAAUCAAGGUAGUUCUACUGAUUACAGCAAAAUUGGACUUGAAUUACUCAAUUAGGUAGAAAAGUCUGUUGCACUGCAAGGUUUUUUUUUUUUUUUUUAAAUAUACAUAUAAAGAGAAAACCUAAUUUAGAGUGUUUGCAGCCCAGCAUGCCUACCAGCAACUGGCCUGCUAUAAAAUGAUUAAUAUGAGGCCCUGCGAACAAUGCUGAGGUAAAGAUUGCCCAAAGCUGAGCCAGUUAUUUUCUGAGAUUCAGCUUUAACAGCUUCGUUGUCUUCUCUUGCACAGCAUUUGCUUGUAACACAGUCACUGGUUUUCUCCAUCACCUCUUUGCCACCUCAACACCACCUUAGAAACAUGACUUUACACAAUACCUUUGCCUUAAAAGGCACCUUGACACUUUCAGUAUGCCCAUUCUUCAUAGUUACACUAUGUGCAGCUAAGAGCUUCAGUAACAGAAGAAUCUGAAAACAACUGAAAGCUGCAGCUGCAAAUACACCCUAUCAUUUUUCCUGUGUCUGCAAGUUCCCAAAGGUGGUCCAGAGUUGGGGUCCCUUGUAAUACUCCUUGAUUUUUUAUUUUUAAUAUAUAAGAAUCCCAUAUUUCAUGAAAAUCUUGAAGGACAUGAAAACUCUUCAGUGUGUUUUGAUUCAGGCAAUUUAGUUCUGUUUCUUGAACAAGAAUCUGGCUGAUUUCCUUCAGUUGUUCAUCUCAGCAGAAAAGGAGGGAGCUCUGAGAAAUAGCAAUUGCCCAAUGCUCCCCAAUUCUCCAGGUCCUUGGGAUUUAUUUCCAGGCAGUUUUUAAGUUUUGAAGGCAAAAGAAGAAACACUUUGUGGUAUUCUUUCCUAAGACCACAUUUGAAUAAGCCAUAAUCAUAACAAAGAUCAUGGAAUCAAAGUUUACUGCUUGCAAACAAAACAUUCUGUCAGUUGUUAGAGCAUGUAUGGAACAAUGAUAAGGAUUCCCU